CCACAGCCUGCAUGAUGGAUGGUGAGGAGGCUUCAGCUGAAGUCCAGGCAUGGCCAGGCUUGACACAAAGCUGUGGGAUGAUUCCAAAUCUGUUCUGGGUUCCAAAUCUGUCUUUCCUCAUUUUGGGCUCAACAGAUUACCCAAGGCAUUCUCUCAUGGGGAUGGCAGAGAGCAUAAAAGCAUGCUGAAAUACCCAAACACAUUUCAAAUACUUGCUUGCGUCACGUCUGCUAACAUCCCCUUGGCCAAGGCAAAUCACAAGGUCAAGCAAGCCAAAAGUCAGAGCAGGCAAGUAAAUUCUGCUCUCCAUGAGACCUUGGCAAGGAUGUGACUGUAUACUACUCCUACAGAGGAAUAAAGAUUUGAGUCCCAUGAUUCAAUAAACAAUAAGAAUGUAACCUAAAGUAUCUCUGUCACAUGUGCAUAGGGAGA
rnacentral:lncRNA from 10 species